GAUGAAGAAGAAGAAGGAGUCACUAGUACCACAACAAAAUUAUUCCCUUCGUUAACUGAGUUGUACAUCUGGGAAUCUGAAAACUUAGAAGAAUGGUUUGCACCUAAUAAUUCCUUCCCUUGCCUUGAGAAAGUACGACUCUGUGAUUGUGGUAAUUUGACAUGUAUACCAGAUUUACGAUUAUGGACUUCUGCUCUCAAGCAAUUAACUAUAAAGGGUUGUCAAAAAUUGAAAAAUGAGCAUGUGGCAUUUUAUCUCGACAAAUUCCUCCCAUCUGUUCGAUACCACUUGGAGUGAAAUGAUGAUAACUCCAAUAAUUCGGUAGAGGAUGAGAAGUAAAUCAGCUUGGUCUGCUACGAUUGAUAUAUAUUUAUCAACCAACAACACCAAUAGAGCCAAGUACCAGUUUCUGGAGACUAUUAAAUCAGAGAUGUGUCCAAAAUUGAAGAAACUACCCCUUGGUGUCAAUAUCCGGAUUCCAAAGACGCUGAUAAGAAUUGCAGGAGAAAGCAAGAGUGGGAAGAUGAUGCUGCAAACUCAACUUUUGCUCCUUAUUAUGUGACGGUUAUAUUUGAAGUGAUUUUCCUUUUCCUUCGGUGUAGUCUGUAGUGAGUGAUGACCCUUUUUGGUGUAAUCGAAAACACAUUCCGAUGAAUCUAAUCUAAUAAUCUCCCAAAUCUGUUGAUA